rnacentral:tRNA from 1 species
GGGUCUGUAGCUCAGUGAUAGAGCAAUCGCCUGCAGAGCGAUAGGUUGCUGGUUUAAUUCCAGCCAGGCCCU